CGGACGGGUGAGUAAUGUCUGGGAAACUGCCCGAUGGAGGGGGAUAACUACUGGAAACGGUAGCUAAUACCGCAUAACGUCGCAAGACCAAAGAGGGGGACCUUAGGGCCUCUUGCCAUCGGAUGUGCCCAGAUGGGAUUAGCUAGUAGGUGGGGUAAUGGCUCACCUAGGCGACGAUCCCUAGCUAGUCUGAGAGGAUGACCAGCCACACUGGAACUGAGACACGGUCCAG
rnacentral:rRNA from 1 species